rnacentral:rRNA from 1 species
UACAGAGGUCUCAAGCGUUGUUCGGAUUCAUUGGGCGUAAAGGGUGCGUAGGCGGCGCGGUAAGUCGGGUGUGAAAUCUCGGAGCUUAACUCCGAAACUGCAUUCGAUACUGCCGUGCUUGAGGACUGGAGAGGAGACUGGAAAUUUACGGUGUAGCGGUGAAAUGCGUAGAUAUCGUAAGGAAGACCAGUGGCGAAGGCGGGUCUCUGGACAGUUCUUGAC